rnacentral:tRNA from 2 species
UACAUCUUAGUAUUUAAUGUACAAAAAUUUUUGAUAUUUUAGGAAAUAGUUGAUAUCUAUUAGAUGUAU